rnacentral:rRNA from 1 species
UACGAGGGGGGCAAGUGUUGUUCGGAAUUACUGGGCGUAAAGCGCACGUAGGCGGCUUUGUAAGUUAGAGGUGAAAGCCCGGGGCUCAACUCCGGAAUUGCCUUUAAGACUGCAUCGCUAGAAUUGUGGAGAGGUAAGUGGAAUUCCGAGUGUAGAGGUGAAAUUCGUAGAUAUUCGGAAGAACACCAGUGGCGAAGGCGACUUACUGGACACAUAUUGACGCUGAGGUGCGAAAGCGUGGGGAGCAAACAGG